UACGGAGGGAGCUAGCGUUGUUCGGAAUUACUGGGCGUAAAGCGCACGUAGGCGGCGAUUCAAGUCAGAGGUGAAAGCCCGGGGGCUCAACUCCGGAACUGCCUUUGAAACUAGAUUGCUAGAAUCUUGGAGAGGCGAGUGGAAUUCCGAGUGUAGAGGUGAAAUUCGUAGAUAUUCGGAAGAACACCAGUGGCGAAGGCGACUCGCUGGACAAGUAUUGACGCUGAGGUGCGAAAGCGUGGGGAGCAAAACAGG
rnacentral:rRNA from 1 species